CAUAGGUGCUUGCUACACACGUAUGGAAUGA
rnacentral:piRNA from 1 species